rnacentral:rRNA from 1 species
CCUACGGGAGGCUGCAGUGGGGAAUAUUGGACAAUGGGCGCAAGCCUGAUCCAGCAAUGCCGCGUGUGUGAAGAAGGCCUUCGGGUUGUAAAGCACUUUAAGUUGGGAGGAAAAGCUUGGGGUUAAUAGCCUUAAGUGUUGACGUUACCAACAGAAUAAGCACCGGCUAACUCCGUGCCAGCAGCCGCGGUAAUACGGAGGGUGCAAGCGUUAAUCGGAAUUACUGGGCGUAAAGCGCGCGUAGGCGGUUUGUUAAGUCAGAUGUGAAAUCCCCGGGCUCAACCUGGGAAUGGCAUUUGAGACUGGCAGGCUAGAGUAUGGUAGAGGUGAGUGGAAUUUCAGGUGUAGCGGUGAAAUGCGUAGAGAUCUGAAGGAACAUCAGUGGCGAAGGCGACUCACUGGGCCAUUACUGACGCUGAGGUGCGAAAGCGUGGGUAGCA